AGCUGGAAAGGUUCAGGGGAAAAGCAGCAAGAGAUGGGAUGGGCAGACCUUGGCUGCUGAUGAGAGAGCCCCUUAGCGGGACCCCAGAGUAGAGGGCAGGUUCCCUUAGCAGCCACUGGGGAAGUGAUACUGACCAGACAGUGGAGAGUGGACUGCCUGGGACAGUUUGCCUUGGAAGAUUUUAAUACCCCGGAAGAGGAGGAUUAUAGUGACCUGACCAGAAGGCCAAGUCACAAACAGGAAUCUGCAUUCCUGGAGCAAGAGGGGCUGCAGGGUGAGAGAAGAAGAUGGAUGGAUGGAGAGAGCACCAGAGGAGGGUGCAGCACCUGCAGGGAACUAAUCCCCAAACUGCCUGGAGGAGGCAGUCUAGCAGUGAGUGGUCCCCAUGACAGGAUCAGUCAAAUCUUCUGGUUGUUUCCUGUGACUCUUUUCUAUUGCUGCUAUUUCUACAGCUCUUUUGGUUACUGGUGGAACCUGGACAUGGAAUAAAACUCUCUGAACAUUUCAUAGCCAUAAGAUAAAGGUUGGGUCCAAAUUAAAUUCCAAAGCAAUGGAUACUGACUGUCUAGAAUGCAUAGUUACGCCUGACAGACCACUGGGCUGAUAACAUCAUUAUAAACUCAGUGAUGUAACAUCCACAUCAGAAGAAUGUAGAAAACCUUUGGCUGCUAAAGCACAGUUCCGCAGAGCUAGUGUAAUCUGAUCACAGAGAGUAUAGAUGUAAAGCUCCUUUCUACCACGCCCUUGCAACUAGGACCAAAUCUGGUCCCAACAACAUCAAUGGGAGUUUUGCCAUUGAUUUCACUGUGCCAGGACUUCACACCCAGUGUUCAGUGGGAGUUUAACCUGAGAAAGAUUGCAGGAUUUUACCAUAUUUGAACAAUUUUAUUGGAUGAUGCCUCAGUGAAUGUGUGUGGGAAAGCUGUUCCAAUGUUUAAUUACUUCAACCCUUGGGAAGUUUCUUUUGAUAUCUGACAUAACCUUCACUUUCUUUACUUUAAUGAAACAAAUUACUUGCUAAAAUAGUAUUGAAUAUUUUUAAAUAAUUUUGGACUAAUUGGUUU